rnacentral:lncRNA from 1 species
AGAAGUUCGGCCACUUCAUGGUGAAGAGGGAGGGGAGAUUUUGGCUCUCAUGAAACCAAGAUCCAUCCAUGGAAGGAAGAAAGAAGGAGGAGAAAGGAAAUCAAGCUAAGGUAUAAUAAAAAUUUCUACUUGUGUAGGCUAAAUUUCCUUGGUGUUUUGAUUUGAUUUUUGACAACUUGAAGUUGUGAUCUUGAGGUUUAAAACCUUAGAUCUAUGUAUAUAUGAGUGUAUCAUGUUUAGAUCUAACAAUAUUGGGUGUUGAUUUUGGUUGGAAUCAAAGGUAUAAUAUUUCCUAAACUCAAGACUCUAGUUAGUUUAUGUAUUUUGGGAUGGUUGUUUUUCACCAAGUGUUGAACUUAUGAUCCAUAUGAGGGAAGAUCUACAUGAUAUAUGAUAUUUUAUGGUUAGAUCUUGCCAUUUUUAGGGUUGAUAAGCUUGAACAAAGAAGAUGAAUCAAAACAGUUUUUUUGUUUUAAAUGAAUUAGUGGACUACUGCCCUAAACAGAAAAUUUCGUAUUUGUUAGGGUGCUCUAAAAAUUCUGGACUUGUGAUAUGUUAUAGUACACUCAAUAAGCUUUCCAUAGACUCCGAAACGGACUAAAUCCGAUAUCGGAGGAGCAAGUUAUGGGAUUUUUACCAAACUACACAAAGUUAAGAAAACUGUGAAAAGGACAGUUUUGGAGCAGUCACUUCAGGGAUAAAUUCCGGGAGCUAAACAUAUCCAAAUAUGGAUUGUGAUAUAUGAAAACUAUAGUUCGGAAAGAUAUGAAUCCAACAAAAUUGACGGAUCAUUAAUCGGAGUUACAGAUUUCGUUUUAUUUAAGUUUUGGUGAAGGACUCCAAAACUGCCAAAGUGCAAAAAGUUUCUGGCCAAAAUUUUCCGAGGGCUGUUUUGGACAUUUAGUUAAUGAGAAAAAUUCCAGGCUUUUGGGAAAUGAAAAUAUAUGAUAAUAUGUAGCUCGUGUCCAAAAAUGAGCUAAUUCCAAGUUAAAACAACCAAGUUAUGACCAUUACAAUUUUUGUGAUUUUCCGACGGAAAUCGCUAUAAACGGAGUUCUACAACUCCGAUUGCCACGAAAUUUAAAAUGGAGUAUCACGAUAACAUAUAUAAGGUUAUGCCAGAAGAUGGGCAUUACUGGAGUUAAGCACGAGGUAGCUAAUUUCUUAAGCUACGCACUAAAAAUAAAUUAAGGAAAAAUAGAAUUAAUGUUUUUAAAAUCAUAUAAAAAUGAUUUUAAGUAUUAGAAAAUUAUUUUAAGUUAUAAAAUAUAACUUUUGAUAUUUUGGCAUGAAAAUAUUAAUAUUUUAAUAUUAAUAUUAAUUAUCGGAUAAUGGAUUUAAGUG